rnacentral:rRNA from 1 species
UACGGAGGGGACUAGCGUUGUUUGGAAUUACUGGGCGUAAAGCGCACGUAGGCGGAUUGUUAAGUCAGGGGUGAAAUCCCGAGGCUCAACCUCGGAACUGCCUUUGAUACUGGCAAUCUCGAGUCCGGAAGAGGUGAGUGGAAUUCCUAGUGUAGAGGUGAAAUUCGUAGAUAUUAGGAAGAACACCAGUGGCGAAGGCGGCUCACUGGCCCGAUACUGACGCUGAGGCACGAAAGCGUGGGGAGCAAACAGG